rnacentral:rRNA from 1 species
CAAGAUUAAAACUCAAAUGAAUUGACGGGGGCCCGCACAAGCGGUGGAGCAUGUGGUUUAAUUCGAUGCAACGCGAAGAACCUUACCUACUCUUGACAUCCAGAGAAGCCAGCGGAGACGCAGGUGUGCCUUCGGGAGCUCUGAGACAGGUGCUGCAUGGCUGUCGUCAGCUCGUGUUGUGAAAUGUUGGGUUAAGUCCCGCAACGAGCGCAACCCUUAUCCUUGUUUGCCAGCGAGUAAUGUCGGGAACUCCAGGGAGACUGCCGGUGAUAAACCGGAGGAAGGUGGGGACGACGUCAAGUCAUCAUGGCCCUUACGAGUAGGGCUACACACGUGCUACAAUGGCGCAUACAGAGGGCAGCAAGCUAGCGAUAGUGAGCGAAUCCCAAAAAGUGCGUCGUAGUCCGGAUUGGAGUCUGCAACUCGACUCCAUGAAGUCGGAAUCGCUAGUAAUCGUGAAUCAGAAUGUCACGGUGAAUACGUUCCCGGGCCUUGUACACACCGCCCGUCACACCAUGGGAGUGGGCUGCAAAAGAAGUGGGUAGUUUAACCUUUCGGGGAGGACGCUCACCACUUUGUGGUUCAUGACUGGGGUGAAGUCGUAACAAGGUAGCCCUAGGGGAACCUGGGGCUGGAUCACCUCCUUAUACGAAGAUA